rnacentral:rRNA from 1 species
GAAUUCAACUCCUACGGGAGGCAGCAGUAGGGAAUCUUCCGCAAUGGGCGAAAGCCUGACGGAGCAACGCCGCGUGAGUGAUGAAGGUCUUCGGAUCGUAAAACUCUGUUAUUAGGGAAGAACAAAUGUGUAAGUAACUAUGCACGUCUUGACGGUACCUAAUCAGAAAGCCACGGCUAACUACGUGCCAGCAGCCGCGGUAAUACGUAGGUGGCAAGCGUUAUCCGGAAUUAUUGGGCGUAAAGCGCGCGUAGGUGGUUUUUUAAGUCUGAUGUGAAAGCCCACGGCUCAACCGUGGAGGGUCAUUGGAAACUGGAAAACUUGAGUGCAGAAGAGGAAAGUGGAAUUCCAUGUGUAGCGGUGAAAUGCGCAGAGAUAUGGAGGAACACCAGUGGCGAAGGCGACUUUCUGGUCUGUAACUGACGCUGAUGUGCGAAAGCGUGGGGAUCAAACAGGAUUAGAUACCCUAGUAGUCCAGGCGUU